CAGCAGCCGCGGUAAUACAGAGGGUGCGAGCGUUAAUCGGAUUUACUGGGCGUAAAGCGUGCGUAGGCGGCUUCUUAAGUCGGAUGUGAAAUCCCUGAGCUUAACUUAGGAAUUGCAUUCGAUACUGGGAAGCUAGAGUAUGGGAGAGGAUGGUAGAAUUCCAGGUGUAGCGGUGAAAUGCGUAGAGAUCUGGAGGAAUACCGAUGGCGAAGGCAGCCAUCUGGCCUAAUACUGACGCUGAGGUACGAAAGCAUGGGGAGCAAACAGGAUUAGAUACCCCGGUAGUCCCUGUCUCUAUACC
rnacentral:rRNA from 1 species